ensembl:miRNA
UAUCUGCUACUCUGCUGUUGUUUUUUUAGGUUUUGAUUUUUAUGCCAUGCUCAUGUGAAAAUCAAAAUCUAAAGAAAAUGCUGCAAAGAUAGAUUAUU